AAUAACUUUUUAUGUUUAUAAAUGUACAGAAGUAACCGAUGAAGUAACCGAUGGUAAGUCCACUAGUUUUAUACUGCAUAAUUCAUAAAAAUAUAAAUUUUAAUAAAAUAUAAUAUCAUUUAACAACGAUUCACGUUCAACAAAAUUAAAAACAGAAAAUAUUUAUAUUAUUAUUGAACUGAUCAAAUGUAUUCCAUGUAGUAGUACAUUAAUAACUUUAAUGGUUUUUUUGUUUAAAAUGUUCAGAAGAGCUAAAUAAAGUGAAAGACGGUAAGUCCAUUAGUCUUAUACAUAAUUAAUAAUUCAUAAAAAUCAUUAUUUAACAACGAAUCACGUUCAACAAAACUAGAAAUAGAAAAUAUUUAUAUUA